CUAGGUGACACAGAUUAGACAAAGAUAGGGUCUGCAUCUCUGUGUUACCAUGACAACUUACCAGAAUCCAAUCCACCCACAAGUAGCCCUUGAGUAUUGUCUCCAGACCCUCCUUUGGGCUCAGGAGAGGAGGAACUGGCCCACCUUUGGAAAAGCGCACUUACCAACUCCUAGGCAAGCUUAAUCGGGCCAAUUUGUAACUUUCAGCCAUGAUACCUCUUUUCUGUGAAAGAGAACCAAUUCAGUCUUUCACAAUAACUGAAUCAAGCUAAAUGGUAUUCACCGAGUAUUUAUCAAGGCCACAAAGACACCGAGGAAAGAAUCCUGAUGUACAGUCUGGCAGAAGACCUGACUCUGAGCACCUGCUCGGCCACCUGCUAGCUCUAUCAGACAAGGCAGCGGACCAGGUCUGUUUCCUCUGAAAAAUGAGGAUCAUAUUUACACUACCCACACCUCUGAGGGCUGUCAAAAAUCUUAAUAGGGAGAGAAAUUUCAUUCAAAACAACUACGUUGUUAAAAAUGAGUCCAUGCGCCAGGACACAAGCAAAAUUCUAAUUACAAGAACAAAGACAGGUCUAAAUAACUGGAGAUAUUGUUCAUAGUUGGGACUUGAAGAGAUAUUAAAAUGACACGACUACCUUAAUGUAUUCUGUAUAAUGUAAUGCAAAAUUCUAAAGGGAAAAUGUAUAAGGCUAGAAAAAAAAUUCAUCUAACAAAACCAAAGGUCAAGAAUUUCAAGGGAAAAAAUGAAAAAAGGAUGACCCCAUUUCAAACUAUAUUUAAAAAGCAAGAAAGAGGGAAAUGAUUUCCUAUUAGAGUGCCAUGGACAUGGAGGAGAUCCAGACCACAGUAAUGCUGAAGAGAGCUUGUCAAUGGAGGCUAAGAUCCGCCAGAUGCCACUGACAUCGCACUGGUGGCACCGAGCCCUGGACCGUGACAGGGUCAGUCUCUUGGAGGAGUCCCAUAAAUGCUCCAGGGCUUGGCCUAAAUCCCCACACGGGGAAGAUCAGUUGGAUGAAAAAGGUCUGCUGUCCCAAACAUGGCCCGAGCGUGGCUGGGGACGGCCCCUAGCACCCAGACCAGGCAGGGGGUGUGUCCGGCACGACUGUGGCUGUCAGCCUUCAGGAGGCCUGUGGGGAAAACAAGAGAACGUGCCGUAUUCUGCUGGGUUCCCGAGACUAAACCGAGGAGCAGGUUUGGGUCCAGAGCAGGGGGCCAUGCUCUGCCCCUCAGGCUCCCGCAUCCUGAGGUCUGUUCAAUCCUCCUCCUCCUCUCAGGAGGAUUCUCCCACUCUCCCAGCUCACGAUGACUUCCCGCUCAGAUUUCCCUCCUUUGACCUGCUUACACACGGCACAUCCCCAAUUACUCAGCAUGUCUCCCCUAUUAAAGCAGACGCUCCUUGAGAAAGGGACUAGGAGGCUUCGGGGAACGUUCUUUCUGUUUCUAGCACUUGACCCAUAAAUGUUUAAUGAGCCGGCUCAAAAGAAGAACUCCCCCAGAGGAAAAGCCCUCCCCAAAGGGAAGCACUCUGACUCCAUCCCGCCUCGGUCAGAUGCCCGCCGGCUAGAAGGGACCUUAGGCUUCGAGACGCCCCUCAAGCUCCAGGAUGUGUGACUAAGCAUGAGUCCAGAGAGAUGGAUGUAAGGUCAGAACUGCGAUAUCUCCACUCCUACUUUAGACAAACUUAAGAAAAAACUUGAGAAAAUGGCUCUUUUUAUUAGAUGACAAGCGCCUUUAGUGGCUAAGAUAACUCAGCUGGCCAAGGGCUGAUCUACCCAGAGGCUCCCCAUGACUGAUGGCUCCAGUCUGCUCUCCCUCGGGAGCCUCGUGCUCUCUCGGGUCCCUCCCCUUUGGAAGACCCCUGGGCAGUUGGGUGGGGCUGAGAGCAGCACAGGGGGAUGGCAAAGAGCCAGACCUCCUGGGUUCUGACACCACCAGCCUAGCGACCAUUUGUGCCUCUGAGUCUGACUCCUCACCUAAAAAAUGGAGGGCAGCCUGCCGCCUGCCUUCCCCAAGGUGCUUUGUAAGCCUUAAGGUGCUGGCCCUUGGGGUCCAGACCCAAUUUUGUCCCCCAAUGGAAGCCGGCUUGGGGAGGUGCCGGGUGCCCAGAGGCCAAGUGUUUUCACCAGGCGCCAGGGCCAGUGGGUCAGUGACAGGUCUGCAGGACCUGAGGCCAGAACUCUGCCCACUCCACCAGACUCCGUACAAAGGGGGAGAACUGGGAGCCAAUAGGGAAGAACCACCAGGUGUGUGACCCACAGUGGGCAAUUGGAAAAGGAAGGAAGGGUCACUGGGAGGUCAGGAAUAAAAACAGCACUAGUUUAAUCUGCUUCAGAA